UGAGUAACCUGCCCUUCACUCUGGGAUAACUCCGGGAAACCGGGGCUAAUACUGGAUAUGACUCGAACAGGCAUCUGUUUCGGGUGGAAAGAUUUAUUGGUGGAGGAUGGACUCGCGGCCUAUCAGCUUGUUGGUGAGGUAAUGGCUCACCAAGGCGACGACGGGUAGCCGGCCUGAGAGGGCGAUCAGCCACACUGGGACUGAGACACGGCCCAGACCUCCGUACGGGAGG
rnacentral:rRNA from 1 species